UGACAAGUGUAUUACGUUGCUACUGACAGCUUAUGAAACAGAAAAUAAACUGAGCAAGGCACUUGAUGUUUUGAUGGAUUUAGAGAGGGAUGGUAUUGUGCUUGGCAGAGAAGCUUCUGAAUUAUUGGCUCGUUGGUUCAAGAGACUUGGGGUAGUUGGAGAAGUGGAGCUUGUUCUGAGAGAUUACGCAUCAAACUGCACAUUACUAAACUGAUGUUUUUUGCUUUAGCCAGGAGUUUCCUAUCAGUGGGUAUGUAAACAUUUUACACUAAAGAAACUGGUUUGCUAAAACCCGUCUUCAGUAACUGCAGCUUAUUCCCAUGUCACAGUAAGAGAAAAAGGGGGUUGAAAAACAAAUGAAACUGGAAACAAGAGCUUCCCUUUUCUCAAUCUGACUUGGUGAAUAUAGUCGUAAAUAUGUGUGUGUGCAUAUAUUCAAG
rnacentral:misc_RNA from 1 species